rnacentral:lncRNA from 10 species
GAAGUGGCAUUAAAUGAGCUCUCAGAGGCCUCCCAGCAGUGACCCAGAAUGAGGUUGUUAGGAAAAUCCACUACAUGAAGAUGUGCAGUCUCUGGCUGGGAGCAGGACACCAGCUGCCCAACAGCACAGGCUCAGGGCAUGGCACUGUCUCCACUGUCCCCAUCCCCAACCUGGAAGCUAGAGCCUCGCUGCCCUGCCACUUCUGGAUGCAGGACAGAGAACCGGAACUGGGACUGUGGUCUCUCAGUAGAGGCUGUGAACAGCCAUCUGUGGCCACACGGAUUGAGACCUUUCCUGCUCACUCUUCAAACUGGGGCACCGGCUGGGUGCCCAACAGAAAGACAAUUGGAAGAGUGGCAGGUAAACCAGGCUGUGGCCCUGCAGUGCCAUCACCGUCCUCAUUUGAAUUCUGGCUCGUCUGUUCCUCUACGGCCCCUCCGCAUGGCGCUC